UCAAGUGAAGAAGCGCAUACGGUGGAUGCCUUGGCAGUCAGAGGCGAUGAAAGACGUGGUAGCCUGCGAAAAGCUUCGGGGAGUCGGCAAACAGACUUUGAUCCGGAGAUCUCUGAAUGGGGGAACCCACCUAGGAUAACCUAGGUAUCUUGUACUGAAUCCAUAGGUGCAAGAGGCGAACCAGGGGAACUGAAACAUCUAAGUACCCUGAGGAAAAGAAAUCAACCGAGAUUCCCUUAGUAGUGGCGAGCGAACGGGGAUUAGCCCUUAAGCUUCAUUGAUUUUAGCGGAACGCUCUGGAAAGUGCGGCCAUAGUGGGUGAUAGCCCCGUACGCGAAAGGAUCUUUGAAGUGAAAUCGAGUAGGACGGAGCACGAGAAACUUUGUCUGAACAUGGGGGGACCAUCCUCCAAGGCUAAAUACUACUGACUGACCGAUAGUGAACCAGUACCGUGAGGGAAAGGCGAAAAGAACCCCGGAGAGGGGAGUGAAAUAGAACCUGAAACCGUAUGCGUACAAGCAGUGGGAGCCUACUUGUUAGGUGACUGCGUACCUUUUGUAUAAUGGGUCAGCGACUUAUAUUCAGUGGCAAGCUUAACCGUAUAGGGUAGGCGUAGCGAAAGCGAGUCUUAAUAGGGCGUUUAGUCGCUGGGUAUAGACCCGAAACCGGGCGAUCUAUCCAUGAGCAGGUUGAAGGUUAGGUAACACUGACUGGAGGACCGAACCCACUCCCGUUGAAAAGGUAGGGGAUGACUUGUGGAUCGGAGUGAAAGGCUAAUCAAGCUCGGAGAUAGCUGGUUCUCCUCGAAAGCUAUUUAGGUAGCGCCUCAUGUAUCACUCUGGGGGGUAGAGCACUGUUUCGGCUAGGGGGUCAUCCCGACUUACCAAACCGAUGCAAACUCCGAAUACCCAGAAGUGCCGAGCAUGGGAGACACACGGCGGGUGCUAACGUCCGUCGUGAAAAGGGAAACAACCCAGACCGCCAGCUAAGGUCCCAAAGUUGUGGUUAAGUGGUAAACGAUGUGGGAAGGCUUAGACAGCUAGGAGGUUGGCUUAGAAGCAGCCACCCUUUAAAGAAAGCGUAAUAGCUCACUAGUCGAGUCGGCCUGCGCGGAAGAUGUAACGGGGCUCAAACCACACACCGAAGCUGCGGGUGUCACGUAAGUGACGCGGUAGAGGAGCGUUCUGUAAGCCUGUGAAGGUGAGUUGAGAAGCUUGCUGGAGGUAUCAGAAGUGCGAAUGCUGACAUGAGUAACGACAAUGGGUGUGAAAAACCCCCACGCCGAAAGACCAAGGGUUCCUGCGCAACGUUAAUCGACGCAGGGUUAGUCGGUUCCUAAGGCGAGGCUGAAAAGCGUAGUCGAUGGGAAACAGGUUAAUAUUCCUGUACUUCUGGUUACUGCGAUGGAGGGACGGAGAAGGCUAGGCCAGCUUGGCGUUGGUUGUCCAAGUUUAAGGUGGUAGGCUGAAAUCUUAGGUAAAUCCGGGGUUUCAAGGCCGAGAGCUGAUGACGAGUCGUCUUUUAGAUGACGAAGUGGUUGAUGCCAUGCUUCCAAGAAAAGCUUCUAAGCUUCAGGUAACCAGGAACCGUACCCCAAACCGACACAGGUGGUCGGGUAGAGAAUACCAAGGCGCUUGAGAGAACUCGGGUGAAGGAACUAGGCAAAAUGGCACCGUAACUUCGGGAGAAGGUGCGCCGGCUAGGGUGAAGGAUUUACUCCGUAAGCUCUGGCUGGUCGAAGAUACCAGGCCGCUGCGACUGUUUAUUAAAAACACAGCACUCUGCAAACACGAAAGUGGACGUAUAGGGUGUGACGCCUGCCCGGUGCCGGAAGGUUAAUUGAUGGGGUUAGCGCAAGCGAAGCUCUUGAUCGAAGCCCCGGUAAACGGCGGCCGUAACUAUAACGGUCCUAAGGUAGCGAAAUUCCUUGUCGGGUAAGUUCCGACCUGCACGAAUGGCGUAACGAUGGCGGCGCUGUCUCCACCCGAGACUCAGUGAAAUUGAAAUCGCUGUGAAGAUGCAGUGUAUCCGCGGCUAGACGGAAAGACCCCGUGAACCUUUACUGUAGCUUUGCACUGGACUUUGAGCCUGCUUGUGUAGGAUAGGUGGGAGGCUUUGAAGCGUGGACGCCAGUUCGCGUGGAGCCAUCCUUGAAAUACCACCCUGGCAUGCUUGAGGUUCUAACUCUGGUCCGUGAUCCGGAUCGAGGACAGUGUAUGGUGGGCAGUUUGACUGGGGCGGUCUCCUCCUAAAGAGUAACGGAGGAGUACGAAGGUGCGCUCAGACCGGUCGGAAAUCGGUCGUAGAGUAUAAAGGCAAAAGCGCGCUUGACUGCGAGACAGACACGUCGAGCAGGUACGAAAGUAGGUCUUAGUGAUCCGGUGGUUCUGUAUGGAAGGGCCAUCGCUCAACGGAUAAAAGGUACUCCGGGGAUAACAGGCUGAUACCGCCCAAGAGUUCAUAUCGACGGCGGUGUUUGGCACCUCGAUGUCGGCUCAUCACAUCCUGGGGCUGAAGCCGGUCCCAAGGGUAUGGCUGUUCGCCAUUUAAAGUGGUACGCGAGCUGGGUUUAGAACGUCGUGAGACAGUUCGGUCCCUAUCUGCCGUGGACGUUUGAGAUUUGAGAGGGGCUGCUCCUAGUACGAGAGGACCGGAGUGGACGAACCUCUGGUGUUCCGGUUGUCACGCCAGUGGCAUUGCCGGGUAGCUAUGUUCGGAAAAGAUAACCGCUGAAAGCAUCUAAGCGGGAAACUUGCCUCAAGAUGAGAUCUCACUGGGAACUUGAUUCCCCUGAAGGGCCGUCGAAGACUACGACGUUGAUAGGCUGGGUGUGUAAGCGUUGUGAGGCGUUGAGCUAACCAGUACUAAUUGCCCGUGAGGCUUGACCAU
rnacentral:rRNA from 2 species